CACCCACCUCAGUCAGUCCCGCCAGCUUGCUCCGUGCUCGCCCGCAGCUUCGGUGGCCGGCGUCAGCUGCCCUUCCCCAGGGCGGGGAGGGCGAGGUGGGAAACCGAGGGGUAAAAAGGAAGCGACUGUGGUGGCGGCUAAGGAGCGAAAGGGCUCGGCCGCAGGCGGAGGACGAGCAGCGUGGCUUAGGCAGCAGCAGCAGCAGCAGCAGCUCCUUCCAGGUGCCUGUGAGGGGAGGGCAACCGCUCUCGCAGCACCCGAGGGCUGAGCGGACAAGGCGAGACACGCGCGCAGUCUGCGGAUGGAACCGGCGUGGAGCGAGCGGCUUCUACGGUCUGCCACAGCCUCCCAAGGCUGCUGGUUGCAGCUUCUCUUUCCCCUGCUCCUCCUCCUCCUCCUCCUAGCCGGCAAGCUCCAGGCUGCCGCUGGUCUUUGCCGCUUCCCUCAUUAACCUCCUCAGGAGGAGCGCUCCCACCAGAACGCCCUUUAGUCGCGGAGGAGGCGAGUUUGCAAUUGUUAAUGGAGGGGUUUUAGUGCCGUGCCGGCAGGGGUUCUCUCGCGCUCCUCGCUCCCUCACGUGCCUUAAAGGUACACCACUGUUUCACUCCUCGGCUUGGCGCGUAACGCUCGUGAAUGGGGCACAUAAACCCUCGCCAGGAGCGGACGGGGAGGGGGCACGUGACCGCGGAGCGGGCUCUCUCUCUCUCUUGGCGUGAAGGAACGCCGCUUGGAGAAUGGCAAUGAGGAAGGGGGCGGGGCUUCGGAGCCGAGGCCAGCAGGUGUCAAUGGAGUCAAGGGGAAAGAGGAACCUGUUCCAAAGGAGCCGGUGGAAUGGCAAGGAGAGGGAGGAAAGGAGGUGGGAAGGGGAAGGGAUGACUGAUACUCGUGCAAACGGGUCGUGGGCAAGAACGGAGAAGCCUCGGUGGUGGAAUGGCACUUCUCCUCUUAGAGUAGUGGGGGCGGGGUGGCAGCACUGGUAGGCAUCUGGUUUCGUUUAAGACAAGAGGCAGGCAUAAUGAGGGAACUGAUGUAGUAAUGGGGUAGACCAGAUCAUUUAAAAGACUAAGUAGGCUGACAAAAAAAGAUGUAUGGGAGGAAUGGCAAUGGUGAUUAAAAGGAAAUAGAGUGUAGAACAAGGAGGAAAAAAGGAGCAAGUGGGAGAUAUUCAGCAUAGAAUGUCCACAGCUGGUAGGUUGGUUCAAAAGCAAGAUGGAAGGGGCUAUGGAGAAGGGUUGGGGGAAGAGAGAAAAGGCGCAUACCAUGGGGCUAGGAGAAUGAAAAGUGGGGGCAGCGGAGUGUCAUUUCACAUAAUCAUGAAAGAAUGCAUAACAGGAAGAGAUUGCGGAAGGGACAUGGGAGUAUGAAAAUGUGACAUAUCAAGUAUUAAAUGGAAUGCUAACUAAUUUAUACUAAAGUAAGUAUGAAAAUAGUCAAAUACGACUCAUGAUAACUUCCCUAAGAAGAAGCUGAGUUGUAAUACAGUGCCUAGUGCCUGGAAGCUGCCUUCCAGGGUUACUGAGAGGAAUAACACAACCCUAUCCAAUUAUACUCCCACCAUUGACUUUAGCAGGACUUAAUCCCAGGUAACCAUGGAAGGUGUUGCAGGCUUACUGAACCAGCUUUCUGUAAAAGAGCUCAGUCCUGAAAUUUGUGAAGUAAUAACAAAUUUCAUUUUCCUCACUUAUAAGCAAUAAUGACCAGCUCUUGGUUAUCAGAAACAGCAGUGGCUGCAACCCUGAAUGCACUUUACUGGGGAGUAAGCCCUUUUGAAAACAAUGGGAUUCAGUGUGCAUGAGUAAAUAUACAUAGGAUUGCAUUGUAUAACAGUUGCAUUGUGACAAGAAGUUUCAUGGAACAGAGCCUACUGAUAUAUGCAAAAAAUGCAAUAUUCAGUGGACAGAUAAUAUAUACAACUUUAGAGAUAUGAAACAGUAGGACCAAAAGUCUGUGAACUGCAAACGUCCAGGAGGUCUGUGAAAUUUCUGUGCAAAUUCUGUGAUAUUUCUGUGCAAAUGUCACCUCUUAUCUUGUAUACAUCUGGGCUUUGCAAAGAGGUAUCACAAACCUAGUAUUUCCAUUUUUUUCUUUGUACCCAUAUGUAUAUAUUUGCCAAGAAGGCAUACCCUCAGAAAGGACACCCAGGAAUAUUUGAGGCUGGCAGCUCACACUUUAGAAAUUAAGCACAAAGAAACUAAAAUCAAUACAUUUCAAAAUGUGUUGUAUAUUAAGAGGGGCUCUAAACACAGUGGACGCAUUUUAAAUGACUUGAUUCAGCUUUAUGCAUAUGUGACACAAAACAAACAUAAUUGGCAAUCACCCUCCACACAGAGACUUCUCUGGAAAGACACUCUAAGAUAACCUUAAAGAAAAAAAAGAGAAUAAUUGCUAGACAAGGACAUCCAACAACAGCAACAAAAAGACUUCUGUAAUAUGACUAAUGUUCUUGUCUUCUGUUUCUUUGUUAUACUGUAGUGAUACGUGUACCAAAAAUGAAACAAAAUGUUAAGGUAGGGGGAAAUGGGCUCGAAGAAGAGCUAUAGUAUACACUGAACAGCAUAUGCUGACUAUUUUAUACCCAAAUUGUCAAACAUGAAUUUUAAAUUUCUAGCUCUUGUUCCGAUCCUCUUCAACCAGGUGUUGCAAGACUUGCAUAAAGGAAAAUGAGAAAACUGAAGAAACAGUGCUUGAAGUGAGUCUGGGGACUGAGUCCUCUGGAGGCACUGCAGAAGACAAAAGUCUUCCAGAAUUGCAGUGCCCAUUUGUUUGAUAGGAUUGGCAGAAAAGUGUACUUGGCUUUGGAUGGAAUUACAUAAUAUGAUCACCUUGAGCUUGUGCUUUCAUCUCUCUUCUCUAAGAAUAAAGGUGGGUUUAUCUUCCUUUUUUUUCUAGGAAAGAAGAGGAACAAGGACAAACUGCCUGUGCCUUCUGGCUGAAGUUUUUUUCACAGAGUUCGUGGAGAGAGGUAUAUAUUCUGAUAGUGAUCAACAGGCACAUUCUUCAAAGGUCCUGGACACCGCUAUAGAAUAAGUCCAGGGUCCUCUCACUUUGGAUUGCUUCCAAUACUUUGCACAGCACCGCAAGUAUGAAAGGUAAAGCAACUAUAUAUUUUUUUUCUCCUGGGAGUGUUGAGAAAUUAGGGUUAAGAACACAAAGAGGUGAGAGCAGGUGGCUGGAGCAAAGAAAAAUGGAAAAAAUCACAAAGGACCCAAAAGAAAAAGAAUAACAGAAGAAAAGAUGAAGAGAGUCAAAGCCAGGCUAAUGUCAUUAUUUUGAUCUGAAGAACCCUGCCACUCACACCUUGCUUACGGUAUUUCAGCAACCAGGUAAGGAAGAAAUAUGUGAAGGAAAAGCAUACCCACCAAACUCAGAAGGAGGUGAAUUUUCUGGAGUAGUCUCUGGACCUAAAGAAGGAAACAGCAUUGCCAUACUAAAAAAAUAACAAUACAGGGCUCAUGAGAACAUAAGAAGAGCCAUCAGUUGUCCAGCAUCCUGUUCUCACAGUGGUCAGUGACAUGUGGCAUGCCCACCAGCAGAAUCUGAGAGCAAAAAUACUCUGCCGCAUGUGAUUCCCAGCAACUGGUAUUCAGAGGCAUACUAUUUCUGACAGUGGAAGUACAACAUAGUCAUUGUGGCUAGUAACCGCUGUUGGACAGCCUUGACAAUCAAAUGUAUAUGUAUUUUAUGUCUUAUAUUUUGUUUUCUAUUUUUUAUUGUACCUUGUCCAGAGUACUAUGUCUUUAACCGUGCUGUAUUACUGCGUUGAAAGGAAAGAUGAUGUUUA